AAUCAGUAAUGAAAAACUGAAAUGAAAAAAUGAAAAAAAUGAAUGAAAAAAAACUUUAUGGUGUAGAAAGUCACACCAUCCACAAAACUCUUCCUUUUCCAGCUGUUGGUAAACUGUAACUGCUUAUUGUCCUAAGCAGGUCAAUAAAUUACUAGGUUGCCAAAUCUUCAUGUGAGCAUUUGGUAAAACGUCUGCAGAAAUAAGUGAUUGAAUAACCAAGAAACUAAAGUUGAAAAGGAUGUGUAGGUCACCGAUUACUUGGCUAUUUUGAAAUUGCUUAAGCUCAGUUAAAGCCAGGGAGAGCUAAAGACCUUGGGUCAACACCUCUGAGUCUAACAUCAACAAUAUUUAACACCUCAGAUUGAGAAGUAAUUACUACCACAGAAAAUUUAGUAAAGUUAUUGCAAUAAGGGUAUUCAGAAGAAGUCUGUCUUUCUUCAGUCAUUAAAACAUAAAGGUACUAUAUUUAAAUAUUCCUCUUGGUUUUUUUAGACAUAACUGUCUCCGCAGUACAAAUCUCUAGAGUCUGAAGAUGAGACUGCUUUCCAGUUUAUGCUGGGGCACACAUACUUCUGUAAAAAUAUCAAGCCUGAAAUUAAUAGCAACAAUUCAGCUCUUAAUUAGAUAUGCAAUAAGCCUUAAGCUGUAUUAUCUUACAUAUUCAACUCAGUAACUUUUAAUGAUGACAUCAAAUAAAAGCAUGUGUAUGCUACAAGUUGAAGUGGUUGGUCUUCUGUCUGAAAAGAUAACUGAAACUUGUUAAAGAUAAAUUAAUAGACACAUUUUAUAUUCCCAACCUAGGAGUAUAAGUAUACAUCAGUACUCAAAAGACAAAACUAUAAGCAUAGCUGUGUAUUUAUUAACUAACCAACAACCUACCUCCUUUCUCUGAUUUAUUUUAAUACUGAACUUUCUGUUACAUAAGUAUGUGCAUUUCAGAAACUCAGCACAAAAAAAAAGAAAUCACACUAGCUGAGCCACUGUGAUCUGUAAAAAUGGGAAUCAUUCCAGCUAAAAACAUACACAGUGACUCAGUAACUCAGCCUUUGCAUAUGCAAAAGUUGCAAUCGUUGGCAAACAAAUAACUGAAAAAAUUACAACUUGACAUAAGAAAUACUGCAAUAGACAUUAGGGAACGCAGGGUAACUAUUUUGCCUGAAGCACUAUCAGCAGCUCUUGGAGCUGGGGCCAACCCAUCUGUAGAUAACAAGAACGACAUGUAACCUGUAGCCUUUGAGAAAAUACUGACUUCAGACAUGAGACUUGUUGGAGAAGAAUGCAAGACUUCCUAGCUUCUGGAAUUGCAUUCCUUCCACCCUCCACAGCUCAGGAAGAAAGAGUGGGUGGGCACACAGCCACCGCUGCUGGCACAGGGCCGACCCAUGUGGCAAGCCCAUUCUAUUCCACUAGACUGUUUGUGUUACACACAGCAACACUUCCUGCAGCUCUCCGAUCCCGAGAAAAAAAACAAAACUCUCACUCCUGCUGUACAAGACUGAAAUCUGUAUUCCUCUGGAAACUCACGGUACUGCGAUAAACAGCUGAACCCCAAAGUCCCAGGCAAAGUGUACUCGAUAUCCAAGGUGCCAUACUCUCAUCCAUACAAUUCCAAGUCCAAGGAAGUACCACACGUUUAGCAUCCCUUUCUACCAUAAAUGAACUUUUAAGUGCUAUAAAGCAAACCUCAUGAAGAUUGUGUAGCUCCUCAACUGAGAGCUGCUUUUGUGGAUUACCAAGGAGAGACAGCAGAAUAUGGUGCAUCUGCUUUAAAGACUAAUGGAAGGCAGACGAGUUGACUGCUUAAUCCCUGUUCAGUCCUGUUGGCAUCCACGCUGACCCUGGCAAACCCAUCCAAGGAGUAUGAUUUCAUCACCAUAACUUUAUCUCUUCACUCUGCUUGCUGUUCCCUCCUGCAGCUGAUCCCUCCAGAUCUAAUCUUCUUCAGAUAAAUGAGAUGUACUUGAAAACAUUUCAUGGACAAUAAGCCUGAGUUUUCAGAUGUCAGAUUUACUACAACAAUUUUGUAUCGCUUUUCUACACACGUUUAUCAAUCAAUAAUUCAACGAUUACUUCUCAUGUGGAGCACAACUGUACAGCACAUACAUGCACUUAUGAAUUCAGUUACUCUUGAUGACCUCAGCCAUCAAGGAAGAUACCUUCUUAUCCAGCUAGCAAAGAAGAUGAACAAAUGUCCAAGAGUCCCAAUUAUGUUAGGACUCAUCUGUGUCAAAGAUGUAGUGUACUGUGAGGGGUAAAAUACUUUGGUUGGCAUGUAAGUGUAAUUCAGCUUAAUAAAAGGUUGGUACAAACUUAUAUCUUCAAAUUCCUUUUAUGUUAAAAGUCCUUAAUUAUUAGAAUUCUGAUUCAUCUCUUUUAAAAGAGUAACAGUUUUCUAUACCUAAGCACAAAAGGGAAGAAGCUGAGGGACAAGAACAUUACUAAGCAGAAAGAACCUAUGAGAAAUUCAGAUAGCAGAAAUAUGUUUAGGGUAUACAUGUAGGGUACAUAUACUGAUAGGUACUUUUGUUCAUCAAUCUGUGCCUUACAAUUCAGUGAAAAAUUUCAACCAAAAAAAAAAAAAAAAAAAAAAGGAUAAGUAUGAAAUGCACUGCAGAACCAUAACUCUAACAGAAGCUUCCUGUUUGGCCUCCAACAACUCCAUGAGGCAUAGCCUCUCAAAAGUAUUUCUAUAUCUUCGUUUUUAAACUUCUUCAUUGCUUAGCCUGUUCAUGAUCCAGUUUCCCCCACUUCUGAAAUGAGAAUAUAGCUACCCUUCUCCUCCUGCACUGGAAGGAAGAUCCAGAAGCGUAGAAGAAGUCUAUGGAUAUUGAGAUGCUGUUCAUUGCAAGGCGUAUGCUCUUCUCCAAGAUUAACUCUGAGCAAUUUUAGAUGUAUGCGGUGUCACUUCCACCUUAAAAUGGUAUAUCUAUUGAUAGUGCUACAGCUGUCACAAGAAUUCUCAGGGUUAUAACCAA